UACGGGGGGGGCAAGCGUUGUUCGGAAUUACUGGGCGUAAAGGGUGCGUAGGCGGUCUGUUAAGUUGGAUGUGAAAACUCUGGGCUCAACCCAGAGCCUGCAUCCAAAACUGGCAGGCUAGAGUUCUGGAGGGGGUAGCGGAAUUCCUGGUGUAGCGGUGAAAUGCGUAGAUAUCUGGAGGAACACCGGUGGCGAAGGCGGCAUCCUGGACCGACACUGACGCUGAGGAGCGAAAGCCAGGGGAGCAAACGGG
rnacentral:rRNA from 1 species